rnacentral:rRNA from 1 species
AUGGAGUCGCUGCCGCGCAAGCUCAACAUCGACAGAGACGAGGACAGAAUCAGCGCGCUCCCUGACGAACUCCUCCUCGAAAUCAUUGAGCGCCUUGACCUGCCUGAGGCGGUCCGCACCGGCGCAGUCUCGGCGCGGUGGCAUCACCUCCCCUACCGGCUCUCCCGCCUGCACCUCGACGUUGGCCACUUCCAAGGCGCCACGCCGUCCGAGGUCAUGGACGCGUUCACGAGCGCUGCGCAGACGCUGUUGUCUGUGGUUCCUUUGGACGAGUGCGACUGCGAAAGUGACGCCCUCAAGACCCUCAUCCUCACCUUCUACGUGUCAUCUCCUCACCUGAGCUCCAUAGGCCGCACCAUCGAGGACCUUCUGAGCUACGGCGAUACCGAAUGCCUUGAGUUUUGCAUAUUCCCGCCGCCAUCCCUGCUGCUCGCCCCACUGCUUGCUGAGUUCGGGAAGCAGUUCAUGUCCUUCUCCCGUGCCUACCCGGUUGCCUUCCAGUGUCUCACGAGGCUUACACUCAAGAACCUUGUGUUUGGACAUUCCGAUGUCACCGACCUCAUUAGCGCUUGCAAUGAGCUCAAGCACCUCACCCUGAGUUCCUGCAGACUGGUUGAUGAGCAGUCGGCAUUCAAGAUUGAUACCCCGUGCUCAGGGCUUGAGAAGCUUGACUUCAUCCGUUUUCGUUGCGAACGGAUCGAACUCAUCUCCGUCCCCAAGCUCACGACAGUGGUGUGCCGUUCUUGGCGCUACGAGAACCCUCUGGUGCACUUCGGCGAUGUUCCCAAGCUUCGCCGAGUGAACCUCGGUUAUUAUGCCAAUGCAUGGCACGCGCCACUCAUGUUGAGCGACUGCCUUCCAAGGAGUUCCGGGAAUCUGUCGAAACUGAAACUCAAUUUUUUUUGCCAAACGAUUUGGGUUCAGCCGGAGCAGCCGAAGCAUCUGACUGCCAUAUUCAGAAACCUGGCCAAUGUCUAUCUUUCUGGUAUCUUCCCUGAGUGUGAUCUGAGCUGGACCCUGUUUAUCCUGCAAGCUGCACCUGCCCUGCAGAAUUUCAAAUUAUCCCGAACUAAACAUGCAUGCGUGAAAAAGCCUGACGAUGCUGCUAAGAAGACAAAUGUGGUCUGGGAGCCAUCGAAGGAUUUGAAGCAUCUGAACUUGAAGUUGCUCAUGAUGUUUGGGUUCGAGGAAGAGGUCAAGGUGACAAACUAUAUAAGGCUAGUCCUGGAACAUGCUGUGGGGUUGAAGAGAAUCGAGCUUCAUGGUGAGGACCCAUGCAAGGAGUGCAAUGCCAUUGACCCGGUGAGAUCCCAGGUGGAUGAAGCUAGCAUGCACCGGAUUAAGGAGCAACUCGUACUUGAAUCCUCCUCAGCCACGAAGAUAAUAAUUUGUUGA